rnacentral:rRNA from 1 species
UACGUAGGGUGCGAGCGUUGUCCGGAAUUAUUGGGCGUAAAGAGCUUGUAGGCGGUUUGUCGCGUCUGCUGUGAAAUUUCGGGGCUCAACCCCGAACUUGCAGUGGGUACGGGCAGGCUAGAGUGUGGUAGGGGAGACGUGGAAUUCCUGGUGUAGCGGUGAAAUGCGCAGAUAUCAGGAGGAACACCGAUGGCGAAGGCAGGUCUCUGGGCCACUACUGACGCUGAGAAGCGAAAGCAUGGGGAGCGAACAGG